UGGGGAAUAUUGGACAAUGGGGGAAACCCUGAUCCAGCAAUGCCGCGUGAGUGAUGAAGGCCUUAGGGUUGUAAAGCUCUUUUACCAGGGAUGAUAAUGACAGUACCUGGAGAAUAAGCUCCGGCUAACUCCGUGCCAGCAGCCGCGGUAAUACGGAGGGAGCUAGCGUUGUUCGGAAUUACUGGGCGUAAAGCGCACGUAGGCGGUUACUCAAGUCAGAGGUGAAAGCCCGGGGCUCAACCCCGGAACUGCCUUUGAAACUAGGUAACUAGAAUCCUGGAGAGGUGAGUGGAAUUCCGAGUGUAGAGGUGAAAUUCGUAGAUAUUCGGAAGAACACCAGUGGCGAAGGCGGCUCACUGGACAGGUAUUGACGCUGAGGUGCGAAAGCGUGGGGAGCAAACAGG
rnacentral:rRNA from 1 species